GGAGCAAAACCGGGAUUAACCCGCGACGUUCUGGGACUGAACCCCAGUGCUUUGGAGCAAAACCAGGAUUAAACCCCGAUGCUUUGGUGCCAAACCAGGAUCAAACCCCGACGCUCCGGUGCCUCACCAUCACCGAGCCCGCAGUGCCUCCCCCCGGCAUUCCCACCACUGCCAAACUCCCCCCUUUUUUUAGGAUAUGUUCUUUUUUCUAAGCUCCAAAACCCACCUGAGCAGCCUCUGGUGGGGUCCCCUCCACCCAGGACUGUCACCUGCAGAGGCAGGACAGGGCCCGACCCCAGGAGGCUCCCGAAUUCAGGCGCGGGUGUACAUAGUUUAAUUAGCGCCGUUUAAUUAGGAUUAAAUGUUAAAACAGCCUG